AUGUCGGCCGACCGCGUGUGUUGCCUAGCGCAAUCAGUGAGAUCCGAGAGGAAGAGCGGAGGCAGAGAGGGGAUGGAGUGGGUAACAAGGGAGGCUAGGGCGGACGAAGAGGAUAGUGAAACCUGGAAGCGUGGUGGUGAAGGAUUAUAUUUCGGAAGGAACCAAUUUUUGAUGGUCACGACAACCAUGAUCAUAUUUUCAAAUAGCCAAGGCAUAAUAGGAAACCUUGGUCAGACCCUGGAACAUAAGGUGGAGAAUUACAUUAGGUUGUCGACAUCUUUGAAAGUUGUUUGUUACAUUGAUUUUUUUCAAUAG
rnacentral:rRNA from 1 species